UCUCCGUAGGUGAACCUGCGGAGGGAUCACUACAGAGUUCAUGCCCUACCGGGUAGAUCUCCCACCCUAUGUUAUUAUUACUUUGUUGCUUUGGCGGGCCGUUAGGCUCCGGCCCGACUACCGGCCCCGGCUGGUAAGCGCCCGCCAGAGGACCCAAAACCCUGAAUGUUAGUGUCGUCUGAGUACUAUAUAAUAGUUAAAACUUUCAACAACGGAUCUCUUGGUUCUG
rnacentral:misc_RNA from 1 species